AGAGUUUGAUCAUGGCUCAGGAUGAACGCUAGCUACAGGCCUAACACAUGCAAGUCGAGGGCAGCACUGAGGAAGCUUGCUUUCUCUGGUGGCGACCGGCGAAUGGGUGAGCAACGCGAUCCAACCUGCCCUCCGCGCGGGGAUAGCCCUUGGAAAUGAGGAUUAACACCCGAUACGCGUAUUCCCGCAUGGGUAUUCGGUGAAUUUUGCGGAGGAUGGGGAUGCGUUGGAUUAGCUGCUGGUGAGGUAACGGCUCACCAGGGCUCCGAUCCAUAGGGGUUCUGAGAGGAAGGUCCCCACACUGGCACUGAGACACGGGCCAGACUCCUACGGGAGGCAGCAGUGAGGAAUAUUGUCAAUGGGCGGAAGCCUGAACCAGCCAAGUAGCGUGCAGGAUGACGGCCCUACGGGUUUAAACUGCUUUUGCGGGAGGAUAAAUUCGCCCACGUGUGGGCGCUUGCAGGUAUCCCGCAAUAAGGACCGGCUAAUUCCGUGCCAGCAGCCGCGGUAAUACGGAAGGUCCGGGCGUUACCGGAUUUAUUGGGUUUAAAGGGAGCGCAGGCGGAGAUGCAAGCGUGCCGUGAAAUCGCGGGCUCAACCCCGUCCAGCGGCGCGAACUGCAUCCCUUGGUUGCGGGAGAGGAAGGCGGACUCGUGGUGUAGCGGUGAAAUGCAUAGAUAUCACGAAGAACUCCGAUCGCGAAGGCAGCUUCCGGCCCGUUAACGACGCUCAUGCUCGAAGGCGCGGGUAUCAAACAGGAUUAGAUACCUGGUAGUCCGCGCAGUAAACGAUGAGUGCUCGGGAUUUGCCCCUUUGGGGUGAGUCCCCAGCGAAAGCGUUAAGCACUCCACCUGGGG
rnacentral:rRNA from 1 species